rnacentral:rRNA from 1 species
AUUGAACGCUGGCGGCAGGCCUAACACAUGCAAGUCGAACGGUAACAGAAAGCAGCUUGCUGCUUUGCUGACGAGUGGCGGACGGGUGAGUAAUGUCUGGGAAACUGCCUGAUGGAGGGGGAUAACUACUGGAAACGGUAGCUAAUACCGCAUAACGUCGCAAGACCAAAGAGGGGGACCUUCGGGCCUCUUGCCAUCUGAUGUGCCCAGAUGGGAUUAGCUAGUAGGUGGGGUAAAGGCUCACCUAGGCGACGAUCCCUAGCUGGUCUGAGAGGAUGACCAGCCACACUGGAACUGAGACACGGUCCAGACUCCUACGGGAGGCAGCAGUGGGGAAUAUUGCACAAUGGGCGCAAGCCUGAUGCAGCCAUGCCGCGUGUAUGAAGAAGGCCUUCGGGUUGUAAAGUACUUUCAGCGGGGAGGAAGGGAGUAAAGUUAAUACCUUGGCUCAUUGACGUUACCCGCAGAAGAAGCACCGGCUAACUCCGUG